UCCCGGCCCCAAAUCACUCACUCAAGGGUCCAAGUCCUGGAGGGAACAUGUGGCUACCCUAGCCUGGAUUAUGUGCACACCGUUUGGUUGCAGCUGGAGAAGACAGGGGGAGAACUGGGUGUUUGUGCUUCUGUGUAAGGGGCAAGUUCAUCACCCACUGUGCCGUGAUGGCACACAAUGGAGGGUGGGUCUCCAUAGGGAAUGGAAGUGCUGCUGGCCACUGAAUAGUCCCAAGCCCACAAAUACUCACCGCAAACGUUACUAUUUAAAUCCAGAAGAGAAGGCAGAUGCUUCUUGAUAAAACCAUGGCAGAGUUACACGGUGUGGAGGAAAAGGGUGGGCUUGAGUUUCUGGCAAGCUCCAUAUGUAAGGGUUAAAAUCACCUGAGGUGAGGGACUCUAAGAGGCGCAGUGCUCAAGCCUCCACUUGUACUGACUGUGUGACCUUGAGCAAGUGAUUUCAGCUCUCUGAGCUUCCGAGCUCUGAAGGCCCAGUUAGAUGAUACACCUAGAACACGCCUGGAAUGAGAGCGGGUACAUGGCAAACACUAAGGAAGAACUAGCUACGGUGAUUGCAGUGUCUUCUGUUUAGAGAAGAGGACUGGCUUCUCCUGCACCUGAGGCCUGGGGGGUAAAGCAGAGGAGCAGAAGCAAUAAACAUGGUCGGAGCUUCCCCAUCCCACCCACUCGUGACUUUGCUGAAAUGUCAGAGGAAUCUCCUGCCCAGCUUCUUGUAACCCGAGAGUUGCCAAGGGCAGCCACCCUACGGAAAGAGAUUCUGGUUCAGAGAAAACGUCUUUCAAAAAUUGGCUCAAUUGUCAUCUACAUUUUACAGAGGAGAAAAAAAGGCUCAGAGAUAUAACAUGACUUUCCCAAGGCCACAGGCCUUGAAAGUACAAAUUGGAUCAUCCUUAUCGACACCUUCCUGUGGCAAUCAGAAUAAAACAUCGAUGUCGGACCAGGACCUAAGUGUGAUACGAGUCCUGCUAACAUCUCUGAUGACAUUUUUUUUUUUUUGAGA
rnacentral:lncRNA from 1 species